rnacentral:rRNA from 1 species
UACAGGGGGGGCAAGCGUUGUUCGGAAUUACUGGGCGUAAAGGGUUCGUAGGUGGCCAACUUAGUCAGACGUGAAAUCCCUCAGCUUAACUGGGGAACUGCGUCUGAUACUGGAUGCUUGAGUGCAGGAGAGGAACGCGGAAUUCCAGGUGUAGCGGUGAAAUGCGUAGAUAUCUGGAGGAACACCGGUGGCGAAGGCGGCGUUCUGGACUGCAACUGACACUGAGGAACGAAAGCCAGGGGAGCAAACGGG